GAGGCGCAUUUGUCGGACGAAAUGUUCGCUUCGUCGCGUCGAGACGGUGGCGACGACGACGACGACGACGACGAAGACGGGGUACGAAGAGAAGAGCGUAACGGAGAGACAGAAAUAACCGGAAACGGACUUCGAGAAGGCAGAAGAAGAAAAUGUCCAUUAAAAAAAAGCCACGUCAAGGUCCUCAGGCAGAUUCGCGACGCGGCUUAAGUCGUGUCACACACCACCUGUCGCGCGACCAAGGCAGGUUUCCAGCCGGAGAAAUGAAUAUUUGCGAUCUCCGAUGUCCGAUAAAACACCUCGUGGUUCGAUCGUGCUCACGUCCUCCCAGGAAUCUCUCUCGGAUCUCAUUGUUUGUGGGCAGCAGGGCAGAAAGCGGCGCUUCCGGUUUCAGGUUGAGUUGCACGACGAACGGUCAGACGAACGAACGGACGAACGGACAGGCCUGGUUGCAUCCUGGCCUCCCCAGCGCCCUGCGGAAAAUUGUCGUACACAAGCAACGGAAAGUGGAUAAGUCGACCCACGGAACCGGAAGUCGCCGUGGGAUCGCCCGCGUUGGAGGCUUGAAAACACAUCAUCGUGCUACCUGGGAACCGCCGAUUAGCUACACGCGCGCGUAUAUUUUUCGCCUGUCUCGUGUGCGUUAUGCGCCUGUACGUAUGUGUGUGUGUGUGUGUGUGUGUGCACGCGCGCGCAAAAAACAGUUGUCACGACAUUUACACACGCGCGUACAUACAUACAUACACACACACACACACACACAUAUGAGCACACGCGUGACAAAUGCCAGAGAGCACGCGACACACAAGCGUUUAAGCGGCAGAUAAACCUCGAGAUUUCUUACAACUAAGCAGAAAUUUAUUUAAUCGUGAGAAAAUAAAAAAAAUGAUCGCUAUUCAGCAAAUCCAUUGAAAAGCGUCUUGUAACUCUGAGUAAAAAGUUCCUGGGAAUGGAGAUUGCUCGAAUCAUUACGUUAUUGCUAUGUGUUUCAACGUUUUCGCACAGACACAUGUAAGCAGGAAAUAAAAGGAUUUUAUCUGUACACGUACGUCACGUGCACGUACGAUGUAUGUACACUUUGACAUUAAACAUCACCGCAAGGUAGGUUGAUGACUCAUGCCGAUCAUUGUGCCGCUGUGGAAAAUUGUUAGCUCCGUAACCAUGUAUCGAGAAAAAGCAUAUGAGGCGAAGCCUACAAACUCUCUUUGCGACACACGUCGCUUCUUCGAACGGUCGACAUAAUGAAAGUGGUCGAGAAGACGUCAAAAUCUGAGGUCAAAAUCUAAUGAGACGCGAUUAAUCAGCGCCUCGCGACAUUCAGCAAAUUGGGCGCUACUUAGACGGGACGUUUGGCAAAUAUAUGUAAUCGCGAAAUGAACAAUGAGCACGAAAUGAAUGAGGCAAUUUUGCGAUAACGUGUUUUGCGCUGACAUUCAUCUUACGGGUUUCUAGGUUGCCGUCACGAAUUUGAUUCACAUCCAAAAAUCGUGGGCGACGCUGACGUCACACUGAGACCACCGAUUUCCCGACUCCGCAUCCUUGAAGAAUAGAUACGGGCACUUCUCUCUCUUUCUCUCUCUCUUUCUCUCUCUCUCUCUGGCGGUCCCACAUCGACGUUUUACGACAUCUUGCUCGUCGCGGAAUCGCGUGAUGUUCGAGAUAUGUAUUGCGGAGCCAGAAGAAGCAUUGUCUGUAUAUGCACGGUAGAAACAACGAUGAUGACGAUGUCGAGUUUACAUUUAGACGGUAUUUUAAAGUGUAGUGCCACGUGUUAUUGCCGAUGUGGUAAAAUAUUGUCUUCUAAUUGAAAUUUACGAGUCACGUAGCGUAACAUCUGACUGUUCACAACAAGAUGCGACUCGCGAUUCAACUCACUAAUGAGGAUUCUUUAUCCGACGCAAUUGAUAAAUAAAUCAAUUGUUCAGCUCGAUAAACUUUUUAGAGAGAAGGUAAAGAAAUACAAACAUGCGUUCUCGACAUUUAUUGCUUCACAAAUUAGAAGAAGAGUUAGAAAUAUUUACGAUGGACAGAACAAAUGUCGUAGCUGAGGUAAAAAACAAACUGUAAAUUAUAAAACCAUCUUCCUGUACUUAAGUGAUCAUUGUCUUAGUUUAAAUCACACUUGUGUAUUUUUACGAAACGUCGAUUAAGUUGAACCGAGUUUUUUGAUAGCCAAACCGUAUCUCUAAUGUGUAUGUAUUGUUUUGCGAGUUAUCGAUCUUCGACCGUCGCCGUCAUCGCUAAUAUUGACUUAACGUUGAAAAUCAGAGCUUCGCAACAAAUAUAUCGAUCGCGACAGCGGCGGAUUCGGCGGACGGGUUAGUUUCGCGUCCACAAAUUGACAUUAAAAGCGUGUCUGUCUGGCGAACCAAUUUAUUUCUCGAGAUAACGUAAACAUCGUCACUAGCUGAUGUAUAACCGCAGCCAUUCAAUAUUGAUGCUCCUGUUCGAAUUUUA